GAAAGAAGUAGCUUAACAAAAAGCAUAACACUGAAAAUGUUAAGAUAGUUAUACAAGCUCUCAUUCACC
rnacentral:tRNA from 1 species